AUCAGUGUGGUGCAGCGGAAGCGUGGUUGGCCCAUAACCCAUAGGUCCCAGGAUCAAAAUCUGGCUCUGAUA
rfam:Morus notabilis contig13974, whole genome shotgun sequence.